CACGUGAGCAAUCUGCCCUUCACAUCGGGAUAACCCCCGGAAACGGGAGCUAAUACCGGAUACGACCACUUCAGGCAUCUGAUGGUGGUAGAAAGUUCCGGCGGUGGAGGAUGAGCUCGCGGCCUAUCAGCUUGUUGGUGGGGUAAUGGCCCACCAAGGCUUCGACGGGUAGCCGGCCUGAGAGGGUGACCGGCCACACUGGGACUGAGACACGGCCCAGACUCCUACGGGAGGCAGCAGUGGGGAAUAUUGCACAAUGGGCGAAAGCCUGAUGCAGCCAUGCCGCGUGUGUGAAGAAGG
rnacentral:rRNA from 1 species